GGAUCAACACGUCGGUCGUGCCACUGGUAUGAACUGGCGUCGUUGAUUUCUCCUUUCUGAGGAACCAUGAUGUCAUUAAUUUGGUGUGGUGGGAAAUCAGGACUGUUACUUUGAAAAAUUAGAGUGUUUAAAGCAGGCUCGCGCUUGAAUACAUUAGCAUGGAAUAAUGAAAUAGGACGUUCGAUUCUAUUUUGUUGGUUUCUAGGAUCAACGUAAUGAU
rnacentral:rRNA from 1 species